UAUAUAAUUAUAUUAUAUUAUAUAUUUCUUAACAUUUAUCGUUUAGUCAUUCUAAUAUGGCAGGGAUAUAUGCAACCUUUUCUCUCAUGCUUCCAUCGGAUGAACAGGUGAUGAGGUACGAUCUCGAUAUGCACCAAAAGCCUAGCAUAAACCGGGGAUAGGAGCUGAUGAAGAUCGGAAUAAGAUUGUUAUCAUGAACGAUACAAAUUUAUGAGUUCCCCUCAAAACUUCAAGAUUGUUAUGUACGAAUUUUUGAGUUCCCCUCAAAACUUAAAGAUUGUUA